GUUUGCACUCAUCGGGGAAGGGUGAGAACCUUCGACUAAGGUUCGAUUCGAGCGAAAGCGAGAGAACGUUGCCGCAGGCAACGGCCCGAAGGGUGAGGAGCGAAGCGACGAAUAAUCCUUCCCCCACCACCA
rnacentral:sRNA from 1 species